UUGGAGGGCAAGUCUGGUGCCAGCAGCCGCGGUAAUUCCAGCUCCAAUAGCGUAUAUUAAGGUUGUUGCAGUUAAAAAGCUCGUAGUUGAAUUUCGGGAUUAGUACGUCGGUCGUGCCUUAGGUACGUACUGGUGUUACUGGUUCCUACCUUCUGACGAACCAUCAUGUCAUUAAUUUGGUGUGGUGGGGAAUCAGGACUGUUACUUUGAAAAAAUUAGAGUGUUUAAAGCAGGCUCGCGCUUGAAUACAUUAGCAUGGAAUAAUGAAAUAGGACGUUGAUCCUAUUUUGUUGGUUUCUAGGAUUGACGUAAUGAUUAAUAGGGAUAGUUGGGGGCAUUAGUAUUCAAUUGUCAGAGGUGAAAUUCUUGGAUUUAUUGAAGACUAACUACUGCGAAAGCAUUUGCCAAGGAUGUUUUCAUUAAUCAAGAACGAAAGUUAGGGGAUCGAAGACGAUCAGAUACCGUCGUAGUCUUAACCAUAAACUAUGCCGACUAGGGAUCGGAUGAUGUUAUUUUUAAUGACUCAUUCGGCGCCUUACGGGAAAC
rnacentral:rRNA from 1 species